rnacentral:lncRNA from 1 species
AUGUGGGGGGCUUACCAACAUAGUCCAGAGUCUUUAGAAAAGUUUUCCCACUAUUUCUCUACAGCUGGCACUGAGUGUAACCCCCAUGGUGGCAAGCUCCCCUGCUCCUUUCAGGUGUUUUGCUGGUGGGAUCAUCCAUGUUGCAGGAGACUCUCUGAGCCCCAGCAAGUAAAUAGAACAAACAGAACCCGUGUUACAGGCAUGGUCAACUGCACUGGUGAGGUUUCAGAGAGAUUACGGGCAAGUACAUUCCCCAGCUUUAUCCGACUGCUCAUUGAGACUGGGGCAUCUUCCGGGUCUUCUGUCUCAUCUGGUUUCUCAGCUAGGAAAAAAGCUGAGGAUUUCUGGGAACUGUUUCUCCUGUCAUUGAUGUUUCCACCACUUUUUCUGAUCUAUUUUAUUACAAUCAUAGCGUAUUUGAGAUUAUGUAUGUUACAGUCAGUAAUCUGUACGUCUGCACAAUUACAAAUCAGUAUUGCAUUAGUACCUUAAUUUAGCUACAUCUAUUUCCAUAAUUCCAACAUACACGGGCAUAGGCUAGAACAUGAUGAAGUUCCUGGAAAUGGUUUGUAUUUUACACUGACCAGUUUAAUUUAGUCUCAAGCUUGACACGAUAUGCACAGGCCCCAUGAGGAAGUGCUAAGAAAAAUGUUGAAAGCACAAGUAAACCCUGGUUGUUGGUGGAGUUAUUCUUACAGCUUUAAAGUAACUUAACUAAAGCUCUGGUUUUGAUGCUAGCAAAACCUAAUCAGGGUGUGCUUACCUGAAAAGAUUCCUUCAAUUGCAAGUGAAACCAGGAGAACACUUAGUGCACGAGAGAGCACAGCAUCAACAUCACUAAAUACAGCAACAAAAAAAUCAAUAAUUAUAAAUAAUGAAAGUAAUAGCCUUUAGUGUCAGCUCCCUGCCCACUUCCAUAAACUUAAGGUUGAUAAUUUUAGCUGCCACUUCCUUCUUUCCCAUCUCCUACACUGUACGCAAAGUUAUAUAUCGUUUUUUAUUAGUGGACCUCAGAAGUCUGCUACUACAAUGACCUAAAUACAGAACGGCAGUUAGAAAAGCUUUCCCUCCCCACUUAAUGAAAGAGUUAUUCUGAGGCUCUGCUAUCUAACCCGGUGAUAUCGAUUUCAGCUUCUUACAUGUAAAGUAGGAAAUUCUCUGUGGAGUUGAUUUGUACCGGCUCUUUGUUGCCUUGAGGUGUCAUAAUAAUUCAGCUAAUAGCUGAAUUUCACCAAGAAGUUGCUUCUUGGGAUUUAUUUAUUUAUUUAUUUAUUAACAGGAAAGGGGUUUUACUGUUUUAGGGUUUCAUCUUUUCAAAAUUUUCACUCUUUUUGUUUUAAUAUUAAUUUCCAUUUGAUUAAGAAUUUCUGUACAGCUCUGGAGAUACAUCAGAGCAUCAUUUGAAAGACUGCUCAGUAGAAAUCUUUUGCCAAUAUUUUUUGUCUAUAUAUACAUAUUUUUUUUCUGUUUCCUAGUAGGCCUUAGCAGAGCA